rnacentral:rRNA from 1 species
CCCUACGGGGUGCAGCAGUCUCUUGCAGAAAAGGAAAAAGAACUUCAAGCAAGAUUGGAACAGGCACCCAAACAAAAAGGGACAAGCCCAAUUCCGAUUGAGCAGAAAGUCUAUACUGACCCUGUAGGAGCAAUGAGAGAUAUUCAGCAAAAACUUGCUGAAACAAACCACAUGUUGCACGCAGCUCAAGCCCAAGAUGAUAUCUUUGAAGUACAAAAGUUACUUGUGGAAAAGGAUGCUCUCAAAGAUAAGUAUCUUGCGGUACAGGGAGUGAUUAGUUCAGCCAAUAAUGAAUGGGAAAGUAUCUUUAAAGCAAUCCCUGACUUCAAAGAGAAGGCACCAAAACUUAAGGGCUUUACUCAAGAAGUCUUGGGUGAGGAUGGCUUUACAGAGCAGGAAAUGAAUUGGCGGGGGGGC